AUUGAACGCUGGCGGCAGGCUUAACACAUGCAAGUCGAGCGGGGGGAGGUAGCUUGCUACCGGACCUAGCGGCGGACGGGUGAGUAAUGCUUAGGAAUCUGCCUAUUAGUGGGGGACAACAUCUCGAAAGGGAUGCUAAUACCGCAUACGUCCUACGGGAGAAAGCAGGGGGUCUUCGGACCUUGCGCUAAUAGAUGAGCAUAAGUCGGAUUAGCUAGUUGGUGGGGUAAAGGCCUACCAAGGCGACGAUCUGUAGCGGGUCUGAGAGGAUGAUCCGCCACACUGGGACUGAGACACGGCCCAGACUCCUACGGGAGGCAGCAGUGGGGAAUAUUGGACAAUGGGGGGAACCCUGAUCCAGCCAUGUCGCGUGUGUGAAGAAGGCCUUAUGGUUGUAAAGCACUUUAAGCGAGGAGGAGGCUACUUUAGUUAAUACCUAGAGAUAGUGGACGUUACUCGCAGAAUAAGCACCGGCUAACCCUGUGCCAGCAGCCGCCGUAA
rnacentral:rRNA from 1 species